UAACUAACCAUCAUGACAAUAAUUCUUGGAGGAGCAUAACAUGAACCAGACCCCAUGAAAAGAUUAUAUGCCGAUGUUGUAGUGAAGGCCUAAGGGCAUUCCCUGACCGUAAAAAAGUUCACAGAUCUUCAAUGUUAAAAAGAUUUUUGGGGCGUAAAUUGUCACUCUGUGUCUGAAGCAUUUUACGAUGGGUCGAUUAACAGUAUUGUGCGCACACACGCUUGUCGCUUCUGGGUCCAUUCGCCUUUUCUGCUCGAUGUCCCCACUCCCUUCUCUUCUGCUCGCCAGAGAAGAUAAUGGUUGCAGAACUAUUGACUUAUAUCAGCAAUGCGUUCAAUAUCGCCCAUUAUGCGGGGGACAUGGACCUACAGUCAAAAGUGCAUGUUUGAUCCCAAAAGCACAGGGUUAAUUACUGUUCCGGUAAAUACUAAGGCUCACUGGGGAACAAGAGGAUGUUGGUGUCGUUUGGUUCUGUUGCAUGCUCUGGACCGGUGGGCUCGUUUAGUUCUUGUCCCGAUACAUUCUCUGAUAGUGGGCACCUUGUUGAAAGUGCAGUGAGCCUUCCAGAAAAUUGCUGAUCCCAGAGGGUUUUAAGGGCUUCGUCUGCUGAGGUAUCGUCGGCCCCGCCCCGCCCUGGUGAUAAACUGUCAACAACAAGCUUUCGGUGGUGGCCUAAAGUCUCCGAGCUUUUUGGUUUUGGUUCCUUUCACGUCGAGGCGCUCACGACUUUGGAAAAGGGCGUGCACGGUCAGUUUGUUAAUUAGCCGAUAUAUAUAUAUUCUCCAAAGUAGAUCAAAUAUUUUCCAUUUACUAAUAAGGCGCAAAACGCACACGCGCAUUUGGCCGUCAUCUGGUUGGUUCACAACAUUGCUCUUUCCUAGAGACCGAGUGACCGUUAUUUUCGUCAAGAGCUGGAUCAUUUCUCACUUUUAGUGCUUCUUAACUAAAUCCUUGCUUGUUAAUUAAUCCAUCAUGAGUUCGAGGAAAUGUUAAAUACAAUAUUACGCAUACCUGUGCACGUUUACACUGGGUUUAUUUUCGUAGGAUUGUAGAACAAGGCUUUUCGUUAUGUUUUCUAGGGGGCGCGCGCGGACAAAAGGGUAUUACUUCUUAGAAUUUUGUUAAUGAGAGAUAUUUCCCUACUUUUUAGCAAUUUUUGA